UCUUUUCCUUUUGUUUCAGCAGCCGCGGUAAUACGUAGGGAGCGAGCGUUGUCCGGAAUUACUGGGUGUAAAGGGAGCGUAGGCGGGAUCGCAAGUCAGAUGUGAAAACUAUGGGCUUAACCCAUAAACUGCAUUUGAAACUGUGGUUCUUGAGUGAAGUAGAGGUAAGCGGAAUUCCUAGUGUAGCGGUGAAAUGCGUAGAUAUUAGGAGGAACAUCAGUGGCGAAGGCGGCUUACUGGGCUUUAACUGACGCUGAGGCUCGAAAGCGUGGGGAGCAAACAGG
rnacentral:rRNA from 1 species